rnacentral:rRNA from 1 species
UACGUAGGGUCCGAGCGUUGUCCGGAUUUAUUGGGCGUAAAGAGCUCGUAGGCGGUUCCGUAAGUCAGAUGUGAAAACUCAGGGCUCAACCCGGAGACGCCAUCUGAUACUGCGGUGACUGGAGUCUGGUAGGGGAUCACGGAAUUCCUGGUGUAGCGGUGAAAUGCGCAGAUAUCAGGAGGAACACCGAUGGCGAAGGCAGUGAUCUGGGCCAGUACUGACGCUGAGGAGCGAAAGCGUGGGGAGCAAACAGG